AGUGAACGCUGGCGGUAGGCCUAACACAUGCAAGUCGAACGGCAGCACAGUAAGAGCUUGCUCUUACGUGUGGCGAGUGGCGGGCGGGUGAGGUAUACAUCGGACUCUACAGUUUCGUGGGGGAUCACGGAGGGACACAUACUCUAAUACCGCAUACGCCCUACGGGUGAAAGCAGGGGCUCUUCGGACCUUGCGCGAUUGAAUGAGCCGAUGUCGGAUUAGCUAGUUGGCGGGGUAAAGGCCCACCAAGGCGACGAUCCGUAGCUGGUCUGAGAGGAUGAUCAGCCACACUGGAACUGAGACACGGCCCAGACUCCUACGGGAGGCAGCAGUGGGGAAUAUUGGACAAUGGGCGCAAGCCUGAUCCAGCCAUACCGCGUGAGUGAAGAAGGCCUUCGGGUUGUAAAGCCCUUUUGUUGGGAAAGAAAAGCAGCAGGCUAAUACCCCGCUGUUCUGACGGUACCCAAAGAAUAAGCACCGGCUAACUUCGUG
rnacentral:rRNA from 1 species